rnacentral:rRNA from 1 species
GGGUUGUGAGGUUAAGCGACUAAGCGUACACGGUGGAUGCCCUGGCAGUCAGAGGCGAUGAAGGACGUGCUAAUCUGCGAAAAGCGCCGGCGAGGUGAUAUGAACCUUUGACCCGGCGAUGUCCGAAUGGGGAAACCCAGUGCAAUUCGUUGCACUAUCGUUAACUGAAUACAUAGGUUAACGAGGCGAACCGGGGGAACUGAAACAUCUAAGUACCCCGAGGAAAAGAAAUCAACCGAGAUUCCCCCAGUAGCGGCGAGCGAACGGGGAGCAGCCCAGAGUCUGAAUCAGCUUGUGUGUUAGUGGAAGCGUCUGGAAAGUCGCACGGUACAGGGUGACAGUCCCGUACACGAAAGCACACAGGCUGUGAACUCGAAGAGUAGGGCGGGACACGUGGUAUCCUGUCUGAAUAUGGGGGGACCAUCCUCCAAGGCUAAAUACUCCUGACUGACCGAUAGUGAACCAGUACCGUGAGGGAAAGGCGAAAAGAACCCCGGCGAGGGGAGUGAAAAAGAACCUGAAACCGUGUACGUACAAGCAGUGGGAGCACCUUCGUGGUGUGACUGCGUACCUUUUGUAUAAUGGGUCAGCGACUUAUAUUCUGUAGCAAGGUUAACCGUAUAGGGGAGCCGAAGGGAAACCGAGUCUUAACUGGGCGUUAAGUUGCAGGGUAUAGACCCGAAACCCGGUGAUCUAGCCAUGGGCAGGUUGAAGGUUGGGUAACACUAACUGGAGGACCGAACCGACUAAUGUUGAAAAAUUAGCGGAUGACUUGUGGCUGGGGGUGAAAGGCCAAUCAAACCGGGAGAUAGCUGGUUCUCCCCGAAAGCUAUUUAGGUAGCGCCUCGUGAACUCAUCUUCGGGGGUAGAGCACUGUUUCGGCUAGGGGGCCAUCCCGGCUUACCAACCCGAUGCAAACUACGAAUACCGAAGAAUGUUAUCACGGGAGACACACGGCGGGUGCUAACGUCCGUCGUGAAGAGGGAAACAACCCAGACCGCCAGCUAAGGUCCCAAAGUCAUGGUUAAGUGGGAAACGAUGUGGGAAGGCACAGACAGCCAGGAUGUUGGCUUAGAAGCAGCCAUCAUUUAAAGAAAGCGUAAUAGCUCACUGGUCGAGUCGGCCUGCGCGGAAGAUGUAACGGGGCUAAACCAUGCACCGAAGCUGCGGCAGCGACGCUUAUGCGUUGUUGGGUAGGGGAGCGUUCUGUAAGCCGUUGAAGGUGGCCUGUGAGGGUUGCUGGAGGUAUCAGAAGUGCGAAUGCUGACAUAAGUAACGAUAAAGCGGGUGAAAAGCCCGCUCGCCGGAAGACCAAGGGUUCCUGUCCAACGUUAAUCGGGGCAGGGUGAGUCGACCCCUAAGGCGAGGCCGAAAGGCGUAGUCGAUGGGAAACAGGUUAAUAUUCCUGUACUUGGUGUUACUGCGAAGGGGGGACGGAGAAGGCUAUGUUAGCCGGGCGACGGUUGUCCCGGUUUAAGCAUGUAGGCGGAGGUUCCAGGUAAAUCCGGUACCUUUUAACGCUGAGGUGUGAUGACGAGGCACUACGGUGCUGAAGUAACAAAUGCCCUGCUUCCAGGAAAAGCCUCUAAGCAUCAGGUAACACGAAAUCGUACCCCAAACCGACACAGGUGGUCAGGUAGAGAAUACCAAGGCGCUUGAGAGAACUCGGGUGAAGGAACUAGGCAAAAUGGUGCCGUAACUUCGGGAGAAGGCACGCUGAUAUGUAGGUGAAGCCCCUGCGGGUGGAGCUGAAAUCAGUCGAAGAUACCAGCUGGCUGCAACUGUUUAUUAAAAACACAGCACUGUGCAAACACGAAAGUGGACGUAUACGGUGUGACGCCUGCCCGGUGCCGGAAGGUUAAUUGAUGGGGUUAGCGGCAACGCGAAGCUCUUGAUCGAAGCCCCGGUAAACGGCGGCCGUAACUAUAACGGUCCUAAGGUAGCGAAAUUCCUUGUCGGGUAAGUUCCGACCUGCACGAAUGGCGUAAUGAUGGCCAGGCUGUCUCCACCCGAGACUCAGUGAAAUUGAACUCGCUGUGAAGAUGCAGUGUACCCGCGGCAAGACGGAAAGACCCCGUGAACCUUUACUAUAGCUUGACACUGAACACUGGUCCUUGAUGUGUAGGAUAGGUGGGAGGCUUUGAAGCGUGGACGCCAGUCUGCGUGGAGCCGCCCUUGAAAUACCACCCUUUAAUGGCUGGUGUUCUAACGUAGACCCGUAAUCCGGGUUGCGGACAGUGUCUGGUGGGUAGUUUGACUGGGGCGGUCUCCUCCCAAAGAGUAACGGAGGAGCACGAAGGUUAGCUAAUCCUGGUCGGACAUCAGGAGGUUAGUGCAAUGGCAUAAGCUAGCUUGACUGCGAGAGUGACGGCUCGAGCAGGUGCGAAAGCAGGUCAUAGUGAUCCGGUGGUUCUGAAUGGAAGGGCCAUCGCUCAACGGAUAAAAGGUACUCCGGGGAUAACAGGCUGAUACCGCCCAAGAGUUCAUAUCGACGGCGGUGUUUGGCACCUCGAUGUCGGCUCAUCACAUCCUGGGGCUGAAGUAGGUCCCAAGGGUAUGGCUGUUCGCCAUUUAAAGUGGUACGCGAGCUGGGUUUAGAACGUCGUGAGACAGUUCGGUCCCUAUCUGCCGUGGGCGCUGGAGAAUUGAGGGGGGCUGCUCCUAGUACGAGAGGACCGGAGUGGACGCAUCACUGGUGUUCGGGUUGUCAUGCCAAUGGCACUGCCCGGUAGCUAAAUGCGGAAAAGAUAAGUGCUGAAAGCAUCUAAGCACGAAACUUGCCCCGAGAUGAGUUCUCCCUGACCCUUUAAGGGUCCUGAAGGAACGUUGAAGACUACGACGUUGAUAGGUCGGGUGUGUAAGCGCAGCGAUGCGUUGAGCUAACCGAUACUAAUGAACCGUGAGGCUUAACCUUACAACGCCGAAGGUGUUU